AAGGAUGAAGAAAAAUUGUCUGCUUAUGUACUGAGGUUGGAGCCUUUAUUACAGGAACUGGUAGAGACAAGCAAUGAGAAGUUGUGAAUCGGGCCCAUCUAGACUGCUGGAGCAGCCUGCAGAACACUUCGCAGGAAGCUUGCUCUGCCAGAGGAUGGCCCAGCCCCUGGCUUGCGGAGUUACCGGCACUGAUGAAGGAUGAAGAGGCGGCUGAGAAGGAGGCCCUUCUCCAGGCAGGAUUAGAGAGACAUUUCAGCUGAAUCUUAAGAAACCAGGAAAGGAUAUCUGGUGAUGUGCAGAGCCUGAAAGUAGAAGAGUCCAUAUACUCCAGUUGACUGUGCUGCCAAGUAACCCCCACCUUGUGCUGCCAAGUAACUCAUUUUGUACAGUUGUCAGCAUAAAUUCUUUGUCAUUUCUGUGCCUACUUAAUGUCUCAAAUGUGUCGUUGACAAGGAAGGAUGUAGUUCUGCACUGGCACUUACAUACUUAAAUUUGCCCCUUUGAAUUCAUCACACAAUAUUGUAUAAAAAGCCCAUCACUACCUACAUACGGUCCUCUGCAGAGGACAGCCAAGGCUCAGGUACAUAGGCUGACCAGAUCACAUCAAGAUGCCAGCUUGUGUGGCAACAGGAGUGACAAAUGUACCCUGGUAACGUAAGAUGUCAGCAAGAGGAAGCUAGAGCCAGUACCUUAACCACUGUGCAGACAGCCUCUAAGAGUACCUUGGCUUGGAACCAAUGAAAAUAAUCAUUACAUGUGAGUAGAAUCAUUGAUGAGCCAGUUCCUGACCACAUAACCUGAAACCCUAUCCAUCACCACUCCCCACUGUCUUCCUCCAAAAUAAAUAAUAAUGAUAUAACCCAGCCUGUGCUGUAGAAGAGGCGACACCGUUAGCCACCACCCAGCAAACCAUUAGCCUCUUCCUCUUCUGUAUCUAAACCCAGUUUGUUCACCCACUUUACAGAAUUGUGAAUUUAAGGGGAAACCCAGCCUUUCCCAAGCUCCUGCAGGAAGUGGGGGUGGAAAAGCUUGCUUAGUUCAAGAUGACUUGGUACCCUUUGCCAAACUGCUCAUUUUAGGCAUGAGCAAAUAGUGCAAUUCUAUGCAGUGAAACAUGAACAGCUGUUUUUAUCUUUAUUUAUGUGAGUAUGGCUGUGGUGCCAGAAUGCUUCAAUUCAGAUUCCAGCUUCACUGUUUUCUAACUGUGCCUUUGGAUAAGUUUAUUAACCCCUCCUGGACUUCAGUUUUUCCAAUUGAAAAUGGGGAAAUGGCACAGGAUUACUGGGAAGACCAAAUGAAUCAAUAAUGUCAAGUGCUGAGAACUGCACCUGUUACACAACAUGUACUCAAUAAUAACAGCUAUGGUAUCUGUUUUCCUUUGCUGCACAAACAAGUUUGGACCCAAAACUUAGGGUCCAAAAAUAAAAUAGUUAUCUCACAGUUUCUGUGGAUCAAGAAUCUGGGAACAACUUAACUGGGAGGUUCUGGCUCUCUCAAGAGUGCAGUUGAGGUGUUGGCAGGGGCUGGGCCCAUCUCUUGGGAGAUCUUCACGCUCACCACAGGGUCUCUCCCAGGGCUCCCUGAUGACACUGCAGCCGAUUUCUGCAGGAAGCAAGCCUGCCAAGCCGGAAACCAUGGUCUUUUAUUAUCUUAUCUCCAAAGUGACACUAUGUCAUAUUCUGUCCAUUAGAAGCAAGUCAAUAAAUUCAACCCAUACUCAAGGGGAGGAGAUGACACAGGGGUGAGAAUUCCAGGAGGUGAGAAUCCUGGGGGUCUUCUUAGAGGCUGCCAACCAGCUGUCAUUAUUUUGUUUUACACAUACAGAGACCAAGUCUACACUUCUGUUACUGCUACUUUAUAUUUUCUCUUUGAAUCAUAAAAUUCCUCUACUGGAUCCAGGUUAAAAGAAAACAAAAAUCCUCCAUUACAUUCCUUGUCACUAGUUUAACUCUUUCCUGUAUCAGAGGAAUAAACAUAGGAUUAUUUUGUCCCUUCUAAAGGCUAGCAUGGCUGUUCUUAGGUUUUAUGACCAGCAUAUGCUCAGCUUUUUAGAGCAUGGGCACAAUUACCUCCUCAGUCUCUCUCUAUUCCAAGCAGUAAAUGCCUAACUGCCCCUGAGUUUCCAGUUCCCUUCUGAAAUCGUCUUCCUGCCUUCCUCCCUUUUGAGUGCCCUUUGAGGAGAAGCAGUAACCCACAGAGCGCUGGAUGCUCCCAGCCUCCUUGGGGUGGGUAGAAGACUACCUGGUACCAACCAGCUUCUGGCGUCUCAGAAACUAUAACUUCAACAUGCAACAAAAGCUUUUAAAAUGUGCAUUCCUUGUAUCUAAAGCAUUCCAUUUAUAAGAAACUGAACAAGGAUUCCCACAAAGAAUGAGCUAAAAAGAGUUUUCCAU